AGUGAACGCUGGCGGUAGGCCUAACACAUGCAAGUCGAACGGCAGCACAGUAAGAGCUUGCUCUUACGGGUGGCGAGUGGCGGGCGGGUGAGGAAUACAUCGGAAUCUACUUUUUCGUGGGGGAUAACGUAGGGAAACUUACGCUAAUACCGCAUACGACCUACGGGUGAAAGCAGGGGAUCUUCGGACCUUGCGCGAUUGAAUGAGCCGAUGUCGGAUUAGCUAGUUGGCGGGGUAAAGGCCCACCAAGGCGAGGAUCCGUAGCUGGUGUGAGAGGAUGGUAGGCCGCCUUGGAGGUUGGACACGGUCCAGAGUCCUACGAGAGGGAGCAGUGGGCAAUGUUGGGCAAUGGGCGCGAGCCUGACACAGUCAGCGCGCGUGGGUUGAGGAGGCCCCGGGUGCGGAAAGCCCGUUUGUUGGUAAAGAACAGCAGUCGGUUGAGACGCCGCGGUUGUGACGGUACUGGGUAAAGAAGCACCGGCUAACUUCGUG
rnacentral:rRNA from 1 species